ensembl:processed_transcript 2210408F21Rik RIKEN cDNA 2210408F21 gene
GUGUCAUGCAAGAAGGAGGCGGCGGCGGCGGCGGCCGGAGCUGGAGGGGGAGGAGGGGAGGAACCUGAUCCUCGGUAGCGAAGGGCUGGAGGCAAACACCGAGCUCCCCCUGAGCCGCCUGGGAGCAGGGAGGGUUCUGCUACCCUGAGGGGCCCUCCCCGCGGGGCAGAGGGGUUUCCUCAGCAGUGCCCCGGAGCAGGGACCGCGCCAGCCAGCAGAAACAGCUAGUUGUUGUCUGCAGUGAAGAAUAAUUGGAAGCAUGGUGCCUGUUUCUUUUCCUAGGAGCCAAGAAUAGGACAGCUUGGGAAGCUCAUCCUCGUCUACGGCCAAAUGUUGGUUUCUCAUUUCUAGAAGAUGAAAGAUGUGAUGACUCAGGAAAAACUGGAAUCUUAGUAACUGUGGUGGGCACUGAGCCUUGCUGUCCACAAGAGAAAGCUUGCUGCUCGAGAUGUG